GCAGAAGCUUAGUUUGCUUUAUUAUUUUGAGGACUUGGCUUGAAGCUAUAUAUAUAUGUAUAUUUUUAACCAAAACUAUAUCUACCCUUUAUCAAUUGCUAGCUGUCAUUUACCAUGUUACUCAACCUUUGCAUGCAAAAGCUCACUGGUGUGCUGCAAAAAUCCACUGUCUGACUUUUUAGCACACAUCUUCUCUAACAUAAUUAGCAACUGACCAAAGAAAAAUCCCCUCUCUGAACACUGCUGAGUCACCAUCCAAAUAUUCCAGCUUUCCAACACGAUCAGUCAGACUAUGAGUCCAAAUGACCCCUGAAUACUGGGUGGGUAACAUUCCUACCUGAGAUGAUGAAAACUGUGAGGUUUAGAUUCCCGCUGUUUUCGAGGGAAAAGCUGAAUUGCUGUAAAGUCAAAUAAAAACUGAAAAAAUAAACAGAGCUGAGCUGUUGCUUAUGCCUUUUCCCCUGUGAGACGUGGUUACUUCAGGCUACACCUCAGACUCCUGUGAGUGUUGUAGCUAUUAGAGGAUGUCUGGGUGUCCAGAUAGAUGAGCAGUGUGCAUCCUCGGCCCCCCAGGAUUACCCUACGUGAGUUAUUGUACAACCGAUAUGGUUAUCUGAGCAGCCAUGAUGCAGAGACAGGGAGUUUUGUGAGGCUAUUUGAGCUAAAUAGCUCUUUGGCAGCUGCUUCUGCGAAGCUCUAGGCACAAUAAAGCCUUUUCAUUCAUUUUCUCUUAGUGAUCACUCAAGCCCACAGAGUUGUUCUUCCCCCGAGGGCUUCCCUUAGCUUAUGUCUCUCUUCCUCUGUGAAAUCUUUGUGAGUCUUGAGCCCAACAGCAGCAGCCUGUGUGAGGAGCUGGGUGAGGAUCUUUUUGCCGUGGGUUCACGGCAUAGUUUCACUCCAGCCAGAAGCAGAUGGCCUUCAAGGACUGCAGAACCAAUGUGCUUUCCACGACUUCUGUUCAACUAGUCAGAGAAAACCCUUGGAGUUAGCUAGGCAGGACUUAAGAGUGGUGGAUGAGGUUGUGCUGUUAUUAAUCAGCAUGUUCCAGCAGAUCAGAGCCGGCAGACAGAGCCCCAUUCCUGGCAGUAGGGUGAAUCAGGGCACAGCAUCUGAUGUUGAAGGUUGCUUUGAAGGUGCAGCUGUUCUUUGUGCAUCUCACUCUUCACAGCAAGACUUCCCAUAGUCUCUGGACCCAGUGUGCUGCCAAGCGGAUGGCUGAAUUUCUUCUGAGGUUUUGAAGGAACUCUUCUUCACAUGACUGUCCUAUCCACACACAGGACUCACCAAGCCACAUAGGCUCUAGGACAUAGGCUCAUUUGCUCUAGGAACAAACUAACUUACAAGGUGCCAUACUAUUUCCUUGGGGAAUGAGAUUCCUGCUGCAGCACGGAGGGCAUCCCUUCCUGCAGUUAGUGUCAUCAGGGAGAUUCAGUGUGUGAUGGACAAAAUCAGUACAUGCUGAUGUUGAGAAGAGGACACAGUGCUUCAACUUUCAUUCAGCAUCACCGUAGCCAACCUGCCUGUCCUCUACGUCAAUAUUUGCAAGCACAGCUACAACCUGCAGGCCAAUGCGCUGUAGAUGACAAACUUGUUUAGACCCAAGGAAGGGAGUGUUCCUUUGAAAUAAAAGGUUUCUGAUAACAGGGCGUCA
ensembl:lncRNA